UACAGAGGUCCCAAGCGUUGUUCGGAUUCAUUGGGCGUAAAGGGUGCGUAGGUGGUAGACUAAGUCGGAUGUGAAAUCCCAGGGCUCAACCCUGGAACUGCAUUCGAUACUGGCCUGCUCGAGGACUGGAGAGGAGAUUGGAAUUCAUGGUGUAGCAGUGAAAUGCGUAGAUAUCAUGAGGAAGACCAGUAGCGAAGGCGGAUCUCUGGACAGUUCCUGACACUGAGGCACGAAGGCUAGGGGAGCAAACGGG
rnacentral:rRNA from 1 species